AAUAGCGGAGGAAAAGAAACCAACAGGGAUUGCCCCAGUAACGGCGAGUGAAGCGGCAACAGCUCAAAUUUGAAAUCUGGUCCCCAGGGCCCGAGUUGUAAUUUGUAGAGGAUGCUUUUGGCGCGGUGCCUUCCGAGUUCCCUGGAACGGGACGCCAUAGAGGGUGAGAGCCCCGUCUGGUCGGAUACCUAGCCUCUGUAAAGCUCCUUCGACGAGUCGAGUAGUUUGGGAAUGCUGCUCAAAAUGGGAGGUAUAUGUCUUCUAAAGCUAAAUAUUGGCCAGAGACCGAUAGCGCACAAGUAGAGUGAUCGAAAGAUGAAAAGCACUUUGAAAAGAGGGUUAAAAAGUACGUGAAAUUGUUGAAAGGGAAGCGCCUAUGACCAGACUUGGGCCCGGUGAAUCAUCCAGCGUUCUCGCUGGUGCACUUUGCCGGGCACAGGCCAGCAUCAGUUUGGCGCGGGGGAUAAAGGCUUUGGGAAUGUGGCUCCCUCGGGAGUGUUAUAGCCCAUUGUGCAAUACCCUGCGCCGGACUGAGGUACGCGCAUUGCAAGGAUGCUGGCGUAAUGGUCAUCAGCGACCCGUCUUG
rnacentral:rRNA from 1 species